rnacentral:rRNA from 1 species
CCAGCUGCGUGAAUUAAUGUGAAUUGCAGGACACAUUGAACAUCGAUAUCUUGAACGCACAUUGCGGCUUUGGGUCACUCCCGAAGCCACGCCUGUCUGAGGGUCGGUGAAACAUCAAUCGCAAAAAAAGAUUGCUCUUUUAUUGCGCCUUGGGUCGUCGCAGUGACCUCGUGUCAACUUCGUGGCCUUAAAUGUAAACCGGUGUCUCCGACCGACUGUCUCUGUGCGGAGGGACGCAUGCCCGGAGAAAUACUCUCGACGGCUGGCGUGAUGGAAGUGGUCCUUUCGCAAACGGACCAUCGUUGCACCUUCUUGAUCGCUGCUGUCGGAGGUUCUCGCGAUUCCCAAAGCUCUGUCAAAGCAGGGACGGGGGUCGGUGGAGAAAAACAAACCGCACCAGAGGGUUUAAAGCAAACAUCUCAUCUCCGACCUCAGAUCAGACGAGAGUACCCGCUGAAUUUAAGCAUAUCACUAAGCGGAGGAAAAGAAACUAACCAGGAUUCCCCUAGUAAUGGA